ACCGUAGCUCUAUCUCCUCCACGCAAAACCCACCGGCGAUUUUGCCCCCACGCGCUGACUCCGCCGUGAAAAUCCCCACCGCGAUGACUCUGCCUACUCUCUCCGUGCCUCGCUCCCCGCGCGCAUCCUCCCUCAUCCUCUCCUCGCGACGGCCCAGCGACGACGGACCGCCGGGCCAGGGCCGACGCGUCCCGCACCGCCAGGCCAGCGACGAUGCACCAUCGCAAUGCCGGACCUCCCUCAUCCUCGCAACGGAACAGCGAGGACGCACCACUGCACCGCCGGACUAGCGCCGAGGUUCGCGUUCCCUCCUUUAUAAGCCAGGUAGCCCCACGCCGUUGCAAUCAGCGCACCAGCGGCCGAGGGCUCCGUAGGUGUCGCUGCCUCCGGGGCGGCUCCGUCGUCGCCACCGCAAUCGGGCCCGCUGGUCUAGGGUUUCGUUGGUGCCACAGCCCCGUCGCUGACCGGUGGUCCAGCCUUCCGCCAGCGCCGCUGCUCCAUUGCUCUCCGCUGGUCCAGCCUUCGGUCGCACCUCCGGUCUUGCCGCUGACACGAGGGGCAUAGUAGACCGCAGGUACUUCUAGCUGCUAUAUCCUAUCAAGGUGAUUGGUGUUGCUCCAUACAGACUAACAUUGUAGACUUGUAGUUGCCAUGCUGAAUCUCUUCCAGAUUAUUUUAUACAGAAAUUUUAUUGUACAGGUUUGAGAAUUGUUCAAGUUCGAUCAGAUUAAGGGGAUCGACUCACUUUUGAGAAUUCAUAGAUUCAUUUGUUUAGUACUUUAGUUCUUGAGCACAGAUUAUUGUGAGCCUUCAUCCAUGAAUAAAUUAUAUAUAUGUUCAGUCAUUCACAAAGUGAUUAUCUAACCUGAGUACUCUGUGAUAUAGCAGUUCAUGUGUGUUACCUUCCUUUUUUCUGUUGUCUAAUUUAGAUCAAUGCAUGACUGGUUAGACGGUGAUGCAUCAGGCGGUGGCUGGCCGGACGGGUGCUAGGCAAGAGCCAGUGUGCAGCUGAUCAGUAUAAUGGGUAUUUGCCGGUUUUAAUUCUUUCUCCCAUUUGGUUCAAUUUUCCUUGUUAUAACAAACCAUUCUUUUUUACCUCUGGCAAAGAAAGCUAAUUUGCACAAAAAUGGAGGAUACAACAUUUUUGCUACUCAAGGAUGCGGUUGAAGUUGAAAAGUUGGUUUCAUUGAUUAUUCCUGGGAACAUGAAAUGUUUAUAUUUUAUUUUUCUUAGCCUAAUAAAAAGCAAAUCUUAAUUUCUGAUUUAAUGUGAUACUGCAAUCCACCAUUUGAUUUCUUUAGCUAGGCAUACUAUAAAACGGCCAUGAUACAAGCUUAUACAGAUAUGCUGAAGAUAGGUGAACAGGAUGGAAGGCAUUUUUAUAGGCCCUUGUCAGAUGGCUUUUGGCUUUAAGAUGCUCUAUGAGGAAGGUCAAGGGGAUUUUGUUAUUUUAUUUUUCAUUGAUUGGCCUUUGGUUGAUAUAUAUGAAUUAAUAUACUCCAUAGGCACAACAAAAAGGUAAUAUUAAUAUAUGCAGAAUUAUUUCUUUGCUUUAAGUUUUUACUAUUUUUACUAUGGUUACUACUUAUUGGUCACUGGUCAGAUAAGGGUACAUGCAUAUAUUUUUGUGUACUAUAAACUUAUUAGAGAAACUCAGCUUAGUGUAUGCAAGGGUAAAGGCAUGGAACAACUCUGAUUCUGAAUAGGAAUAACUUCUUCCUUUUUCUGGGCUAGGAAUUUGAGUGUUUACUUUUUCAUUACCAAGGCUUAUAUGCUCCUAGCUAGCAGCUGCUGGUGAUUUGACAAGUUUUGGUGAUUUUGUCCUAAUGCUUCAAAUUUUGUUUUGGGUAGAUCCAAGGACAAAUAUAUUCUCCAAACAGAUGAACUUUUGUUAAAGAUAAAAAAUAUAUUUUAUUUUGAAGCACAAAAUGUGCUAUAACCCCAACCUGAACAUUUUACUGAAGCGAUUACUGUAACAAGUUCAUUUUGUCUGCUCGCUGAACUCUACCCAACCAUGUUUGUUGUUGCUCCAACCAAAAUCAGGAGGCUUUAUGGUCUUUGUGUGCCAUACAACUUUAUAUAUGAAUUUGAAUUUAGUUUUACAUGGUCUGAACUUGGGCUUGCAUUGCUCAAGAACUUGGUUGACAACAUUCUGAAAUUGGCCUCGCAUUAUAUGGCAUCCUGUGUAGUGUAAUGUAUUGUUUCUAUUCAACAUAAACAUGCAUAGUUUCCCUGUGAACUAUUGGUUAUGUACUGAGUUAAUAAUUCCUGACAGCCUUUAGAAAUGUGGAACACUUUUAUUUUUAACAAUUUCAGUACAAAUUUCCUGGGAGCAAAAAAUUGUCAAUCACAUCUCAUGUUGUGUCCUCCAAAAAAAAAGUUCUAAUUUUCUGUCGUGCUGAUGACAAAUUCUUUAUAUAUACCUCAAACGUGUGCACUAUAGAUGUCGAACAUUUGCCAGGUUAGUGUUUGAACAUUUCUUAUAUUAUUUUCUGAGCAUUUGGCAUAUUAGUUUUCGACUUGUCCUUAUGAUGUAGGAGUAUCUGAAUUAAGAAUCUGAACUUCGACAAACAUCUAAAUAUUGUUCAAUGUUUUAAUUUGCUGUGAGCUAAUUAAUGUUAUGAAUUUCUUAUAGCUCAAGUACUGGAAGUUUAGAAAUUCACCAGUCGAUGUAAGAUUUGUGUGGGUUUAGUGUCUGAACAUGGAAUAUACUCCUAUUACCAUUUAAGGUUGAACAUGGAAUGUAUCUUUUUUUUAUGAACUACAUGGAAUGUAUCUGAAUUCAGUGUGUCAUGUUUCUGGAGUUAAGUGUAUGAAUAUGGCACUGUUUUUCCCCA